AACGAACGCUGGCGGCAGGCCUAACACAUGCAAGUCGAGCGAGGACUUCGGUCCUAGCGGCGGACGGGUGAGUAACGCGUGGGAACGUGCCCUUUGCUUCGGAAUAGCCCUGGGAAACUGGGAGUAAUACCGGAUGAGCCCUUUGGGGGAAAGAUUUAUCGGCGAAGGAUCGGCCCGCGUUGGAUUAGGUAGUUGGUGGGGUAAUGGCCUACCAAGCCGACGAUCCAUAGCUGGUUUGAGAGGAUGAUCAGCCACACUGGGACUGAGACACGGCCCAGACUCCUACGGGAGGCAGCAGUGGGGAAUCGUAGACAAUGGGGGAAACCAUGAUCUAGCCAUGCCGCGUGAGCGAUGAAGGCCGUAGGGUUGUAAAGCUCUUUCAGCUGGGAAGAUAAUGACGGUACCAGCAGAAGAAGCCCCGGCUAACUCCGUG
rnacentral:rRNA from 1 species